rnacentral:rRNA from 1 species
CCUACGGGAGGCAGCAGUGGGGAAUAUUGGGCAAUGGGCGCAAGCCUGACCCAGCAAUGCCGCGUGAAGGAAGAAGGCUUUCGGGUUGUUAACUUCUUUGUCAGGGGAAGAGCAGAAGACGGUACCCUGAAAACAAGCAGUGGCUAACUACGUGGCAGCAGCUGCGGUAAUACGUAGGUGGCAAGCGUUGUCCGGAUUUACUGGGUGUAAAGGGCGUGUAGGCGGGAAGGUAAGUCAGAUGUGAAAUCCGGAGGCUCAACCUCCGAAUUGCAUUUGAAACUGUUUGUCUUGAGUACUGGAGAGGUAGGCGGAAUUCCUGGUGUAGCGGUGAAAUGCGUAGAUAUAA